rnacentral:rRNA from 1 species
CCUACGGGAGGCAGCAGUGAGGAAUAUUGGUCAAUGGACGAGAGUCUGAACCAGCCAAGUAGCGUGAAGGAUGACUGCCCUAUGGGUUGUAAACUUCUUUUAUAAAGGAAUAAAACGAGGCACGUGUGCCUUUUUGCAUGUACUUUAUGAAUAAGGAUUGGCUAACUCCGUGCCAACAGCCGCGGUAAUACGGAGGAUCCGAGCGUUAUCCGGAUUUAUUGGGUUUAAAGGGAGCGUAGAUGGGUUGUUAAGUCAGUUGUGAAAGUUUGCGGCUCAACCGUAAAAUUGCAAUUGAUACUGGCAGUCUUGAGUACAGUUGAGGUAGGCGGAAUUCGUGGUGUAGCGGUGAAAUGCUUAGAUAUCACGAAGAACCCCGAUUGCGAAGGCAGCUUACUAAACUGUGACUGACAUUGAUGCUCGAAAGUGUGGGUAGCAAACAGGAUUAGAUACCCCUGUAGUC